CGCUCCUGACUUCCAAAUCUGGGACGUGUCAUGCCUUUUCUGGGCUCACGGUCGUUUCCUCAAGCUUCCCUCACUAGCCUCCUUAACCAUGCAUUUGACUUGAACAGGCUAAGCGCGGGACCUGAAAAUCUCCUGUCCACGCACCGGUGCGCGAACUCUUGCCCCUGAACCUGGCACUCAACCUCACCUCCUCCAAAGUGGGUUUCUUCCUUCUCACCGAGCUCAUCCUGGUGCAGCUAGUCUGGCAAAUUUUAUUCCCGAGGCAAAUUUUCCCGGGACAAACAUUUCUCCCUGCUCGCUCCUCCCCACUCCCCAUCUGCAGAGGAAGAACGGUAUUUGAGAAGUACUUCAAUUCAUGGAAGCAGCUACUUCCUUCACUUACUAGCUGUAAGACUUUGUUUUCAUCUUUGAGUUUCAAAUUCUUCAUCUGUAAAAUCUUGGUGAUAAAACAAUGCUAUUACUACAAGGAUUGUAUUAAUGGUUGUUUAAAUUUCUGUAAUUUUAUCAGUGUUCAAAACAUUUUCUUUUAUUCAGGUAUGUAAAUCUUCCAUAUUACCUGCUGUUUUAUCAUUAACAUUUUCCCUUCCAAUUAAAGCAACAUAUUUCCACUUUACAUAUGCGCAAUGAGAACACUUUCAUGGUUAAAUACGUUGGAGAAAUACUGUGUAUGCAUUCCACCCUCUCCUGGUGGUUUAUACAUAAAUAGGACCUGAGAAAUUUCAGAAAAGAAACUUACUUAACCUUGUUCAUCAAUGUUUUCCAAGGUUAUUUCACCAUGGAAACCCCCGUUCUUUUACUUUCCCCAUGGAAUGGUGAUGAACAUGUCACAGGACAAGGUGCCAAAGCAGGAGCACCACCACCUUGGACAAGCGCUGCCAUUUUAAAGUUCACCUUGAACAAAACUGCCUAAAUCCAAAGGGCAUUAGGCUAAUGGCUAAGGCCAGCAUGACCAUAAACCACAAAUGACAUCUCUGACCAGAAACAUUCCAAAUCCCUCCCUGACCAGAGACAUGUCAGCCCCAAGGUAACCUCCUCUCUGACCAGAGACAGUCCAACCCUGCAAUAGACUUCUCCCCUGUACAGAAACAUUCCAAGUCUGUGAUAAAUUUUCUUACCCUAAAACCAAUAAAUACUCUUAGUCUGUAAGAGAGAAUACCAAAAAUCAGCCAGAAGCCCCUCUCAUGUUUAUUCUCCAAAAUAAACUUGUCUUUGACUGUUGAGCCACUUUUUGUGUUUCUUUCUUCUUUCUUUAACACUUACACAAGGGACACAGUUUGAGGAUCACUGAGUAAAGGUAAUUGGAAUCUGGAAUGUUUGGGGACCACCACUGGACUAAGUCAAAUGAAGAAGUUAGAGAAUCAAAUCAAGUUUAACCUACUCUGCUAAAAGCAAGGAAGCCCAAAGUAAAAGGUUUGUGCUUAGUUAUUAUUGAUGUAAAGAGAAAACUCUGUUAAAUAUUUGAAGAGAUUUAUUCUAAGCCAAAUAUGAGUGACCACUGGUUUGUGACACAGCCCUUGGGAGAUUCUGAGAACAUGUGCCUACAGUGGUUGGGGCACAGCCUAGUUUUAUAAAUUUUAGUGAGGCAUAAGACAUCAAUGAAAUACAUGUAAAAUGUACAUUGAUUCAAUCUAGAAGGGUGAGACCACUUGAAGUGGGUGGAAUGGGGGAGGUUUCAAUUCACAGGUAGAUUUAAAAAUGUUCUGAAUGGCAAUUGGUUGAAAGAGUUAUUAUCAAUAGAAAGGAAUGUCUGGGUUAUAAAAAGGGAUUAUGGAGACCAAGGUUUUAUCAUUCAGAUGAAUCCUCCAGGUAGCAGGCUUCAGAGACAAUAGAUUGUAAUUGUUUCUUAUCAGACUUAAGAUCUGAGUUGAGUUAAUGCCUGAAUUCCAAAAGAGAGGAGGGUAUAGUGAGGCAUGUCCAACCCUCCCCUUCCCUCAUAACCUGAACGAGUUUUUCAGGUUAACUUUGGAAUACCCUGGGCCAAGAGGAGGGUUCCAUUUAGAUGGUUAGGGGGUCUCAGAAUUUUAUUUUUUGGUUUAUAUUAUCAUACUACUUUAUGUAUGUUUCAUAGUUACUAUUCAGUAUCUCCUACUUUCUCUCCUUAAACUGUCAGUUUUCUUCCCUCUUCUUACUGAGAAAAUGAAUGAAAUUAAGCAUUGUGCAGGAGCCAUAAAGAGUUAAAGAAACCAAUAACUAAAUUCUUGUGUUUGCAGGAUAGCAAAUAAGAAAAGAAACAAGUUGAUGAAAUGCUGAAACUCCCCCUGCUUGUGAGAUUAAAAAAAAAAACAAAACUGGCUGCAAUUGGUUAACCAAGAUGGCCAACUGGAGUUUGUGCAGAAGAAGCUUGCUAUGUCACAGCUGGAAUUUCUAUCACAUGUUUCAUACUAAAUCCUCUCAAAUUGCAUGAACCCAUGAGUUAGCAUGAAGAGAUAACACACAUGCCCAAGGAUUUUCCAGACUUCCCCUUUUUUUCUACCAAAUCACCCGCUAAUCCCAGAAUCCACCCACUAAAUCUUUUCUAAUAAAAAUACUACCAUGAAGCCAGCACAAGGAGAUAGAUUUGAUCUUGAGUCCUGUCUCUUUGUCAGUUGACUUGCAAUGUCAUGGAAGAAGUCUAACCUCUCAGGAUAUGUAAGUUCAAUGGAGUAAUUUUGACCCUUCGUCUUGUGCAUGCAGUGCUGUAUUAAGAAGCAAAAUAUUAAAAGCUUCAGGCUUUUUAAAAAUUAACUUUUAAUUAAAAGCAACUCAACAUUUUAAAAACAUUCUACAUUCUCCCUUUCCCCUGACAUUUGAAAUGCUCAGUGAAGUCUUUCCUGAGAAAUUUAAAUAGACAUUCAACAUUGUGAGAGUUCCUUCUUUUGAGGGGUUUAUAAAUUCAAAGCACAGAACAAAUCAGAAUAAAG
ensembl:lncRNA